rnacentral:rRNA from 1 species
UACGAAGGGGGCUAGCGUUGCUCGGAAUUACUGGGCGUAAAGGGCUCGUAGGCGGUUUGUCGCGUCGGGAGUGAAAACUCAGGGCUCAACCCUGAGCGUGCUUCCGAUACGGGCAGACUAGAGGUAUGCAGGGGAGAACGGAAUUCCUGGUGUAGCGGUGGAAUGCGCAGAUAUCAGGAGGAACACCGGUGGCGAAGGCGGUUCUCUGGGCAUUACCUGACGCUGAGGAGCGAAAGCAUGGGGAGCGAACAGG